UCUCAAUGCCCUUCAAACAUUUGGUUCAAAAAUGACCAAGGAGGUAAUUGCUAUUAAAGCAGAUAUCUGCAUCAGAGAGACUGAGAACACUACUCAGUUUCUAUUAAUAAUUACAUAGUAUCUGCUGUCCAUAUUUUCAAUUUUGGAUUCUCAAAAGAUGUAGUUUAAUUUUUUUGUCAAUAUUCCA
rnacentral:lncRNA from 1 species